rnacentral:rRNA from 1 species
AACGAACGCUGGCGGCGUGCUUAACACAUGCAAGUCGAACGCGAAAGGGACUUCGGUCCUGAGUAAAGUGGCGCACGGGUGAGUAACGCGUAGAUAACCUGUCUUCAUGUCUGGAAUAAUACGCCGAAAGGGGUACUAAUACCGGAUAUUCUUGCUUCUCAUAAGUUAUGCAAGCAAAGGUGGCCUCUGCAUAUGCUACUGCAUGAAGAGGGGUCUGCGUACCAUUAGCUAGUAGGUGGGGUAAUGGCCUACCUAGGCGACGAUGGUUAGCGGGUCUGAGAGGAUGAUCCGCCACACUGGCACUGGAACACGGGCCAGACUCCUACGGGAGGCAGCAGUGAGGAAUAUUGCGCAAUGGGGGAAACCCUGACGCAGCGACGCCGCGUGAGUGAGGAAAGGCCUUCGGGUCGUAAAGCUCUGUCAAGAGGAAAGAAGUGUACAAUGGCUAAUACCUGUUGUAUUUGACGGUACCUCUAAAGGAAGCACCGGCUAACUCCGUGCCAGCAGCUGC